rnacentral:rRNA from 1 species
CAGCAGCCGCGGGAAUACGUAGGUGGCAAGCGUUGUCCGGAUUUAUUGGGCGUAAAGCGAGCGCAGGCGGUCAAUUAAGUCUGAUGUGAAAGCCCCCGGCUCAACCGGGGAGGGUCAUUGGAAACUGGUUGACUUGAGUGCAGAAGAGGAGAGUGGAAUUCCAUGUGUAGCGGUGAAAUGCGUAGAUAUAUGGAGGAACACCAGUGGCGAAGGCGACCCUCUGGUCUGUAACUGACGCUGAGGCUCGAAAGCGUGGGUAGCAAACAGGAUUAGAUACCCCCGUAGUCCCUGUCUCUUAUAC